ensembl:lncRNA
UUUUCAUGAUUACAAUGAACAACAUGGAUAGAAUAAAAAAACGACUAGCAGAGUCGCUAGAAAAUCACAAAAACAGAUUAUUAAAAAGCAGAAAUAAAACUAAAACUAAAAACAAUAAUCUAGAAAUUAAUAACGUUAGUAAUACUAAUAACUAUAAUAAUAUCAAUAACAUUAGUGGCAGUGUUAAUAAAAAGUGUGUGACUACUAAACCACCAGGUGACGAUAAACGUGUAGAACCAUUACUUAUAAAAUAUACUCAAACGAUUAAAGACACAAUACAAGUAGUAAAUAAAAAUAAGUUCGAUAGCAAGUUAAUAGAAAAGGUAAACAAUGUAAAAAGCGAUAUAAUUAAUAAGAGGAUUAAAGCAAAGAAUAAUAUAAACAACUGUAAAAAAACUAAAGACUUAUGCAUACAAAAAAAUAAAGCGAAUUUUAAAAAAACAACCUGUAAGAUUUCCAAUUUUAUAAACAAAGAUAUAACACAAAAAGCUAAUCAAAAUGUACUAAAAAAAAUAACGGUUACUAAAAAAUUUGCUAAUGUAAAAACAUUUACACCGAAUUAUAUUAAUAAGAAAAAAACAGAUAUUCAAAAAGAACAAAAAAAAGUAGAUGACAUACAACACAAGAAUCAAAUAAUUCAAAAGGAUGUAUGCACAGGAAAUAUAAAUAAACAAAAUAUAAAUGAAAAGCAAACGUAUACCAAAUGUUAUGACAAAACAAAUAGUGUAGAUGAAGUAAAAGAUAUAAAAAUAGGUGAUAGGGAUGAUAUGUUUCAAGGCGUUUCAACAAAAUUAAGAGAUAAUUUAAAAGAGUUAUUUCGAAAUUUUGUAAACUGUAAAAUAAAUAAUUUAUAUGUUAUAAAUGAAGAGAAAACCAAAUAUUCUAAUAAUAUAGAUACGCCAUGUGAUAAAACAAAUAUACCUAAUGGUGUUACGAAUAAUUGUAAUAGUAAUAAAAAUAAUAUUGAAUUUAUAACUUCUUUAGUAGGGAAUACAUUCUGCGAAACAAAGUAUAAUGAAAGUAACUCCUUGAUGGGGGAUAAAGCCAUAGAAGUUGCUGUGGAUGCCAUUCCUGCCAAUCCUGCCAAUCCUGCCAAUUCUGCCAAUCCUGCCAUUCCUGCCAUUCUUACCAUUCCUGCCAUUCCUGCCAUUCCUGCCAAUCCUGCCAUUCCUGCCAAUCCUGCCAAUCCUGCCAAUCCUGCCAAUCCUGCCAUUCCUGCCAAUCCUACCAAUCCUAUUGAUGGUGUUAUAUCUACGAAGACUUCCGAAUAUGAUAUGAAUAAUGAUAGUGUAAAAGCAAAUGUAACAGAAAGUACAAAAACCAGUGCAAUCUCUAAUACAACUAAAAAUGUGCCAAUAUAUGAGGAAAGCGUGGAGUUUAUUAAGAACGACUCGUACAAAAACAACUUUAUGAAACUACUUACAAUAGAAAAAAAUAUGAAAAAAAAAAUACAAAUGUUCGAACAAAAUAAAAUGAACAGUCUUAACAAUGACAUUUGUGAUGAGAGCAAUCUUGUUGGUGUUGCUGAUAAUAUUGAUGUAAAUUCUGACAACUGUAGUGCCAGUUUUGACAACUGUAGUGCCAGUUUUGACAACUGUAGUGCCAGUUUUGACAAUUGUAGUGCCGGUUUUGACAAUUGUAGUGCCGGUUUUNNNNNNNNNNUGCCGGUUUUGACAAUUGUAGUGCCGGUUUUGACAAUUGUAGUGCCGAUUUUGACAAUUGUAGUGCCGGUUUUGACAAUUGUAGUGCCGGUGUUUAUAACUCGAGUGCUAGUUAUUAUAAUGAAAAAGAAAAACAAGAAAAAAAAAAAGAAAAAAAAAAAGAAAACCCGUUGGUCUACGUUUCAACUAUACAUGACAAAAUUCCUAUCCAUGCUUCAGAAAGUGAAGAUACAAACGAAUUAGUUUCGUAUAACUCACAUACAACCUCAGUAAACCAACCCUUUUAUUAUUCUGUUAAGACAAGCAUGAACAAUUGCAAUAGUAUAAACAGAAAUGGUAAUAGUAAUGCUACCAAUAGCAAUAAUAACAGUAUGGAAAAAAAUGAUAAAAAUAGCUAUAGUAAUAUUUAUAAUUAUAGUAAUAGCAUAGGGGACCUUAAAAGUGUUGACACAUGUGAAAAAAUUGGUAAUUCAUCUAUAGCCGAUAGUUUAGAAUUAUUUACAACACACAAAAAUGUGUAUGUAUCAACGAAACAUAAACAAUUGAGUAAAAAAAUAAAUGUCGUAAACAAUGACAAAAAAAAAAUUGAAAAUAUUUCAAAAAAUAACAGUAAUUUUGUUGACGGUAAACAUGAUUUUAAUUAUAAUAACGUGGAUAUGUUGACGAACAAGUGUGAAUUGUUACAAAAAAAUAAAAAUAAAAAAAACGAUACUGAUAACGGUUUAUAUGCACGAGAGCUAGCACGAGAGCUAGCACUAGAACUAGCACUAGAGCAAACGCGAGAGAAAAUGCGAGACCAAACGCGUGACCAAACGCGAGACCAAACGCGAGACCAAACGCGAGACCAAACGAAGAGAAAUGCUCAUCAUGAUAAAAAUUUUGAUAAAACUAAUGGUGGUAUUAUUAAAAAACGAACAGAAUCAUAUGAACACACAAAAUACAAACAACCUUAUUUUUUAAAAAGAUGGCCUUCAGCUAGAUUAGUACGUGGAAACAGUAUAGUAACUUCGGAGCGUGAAAAAGUAUAUAGUAACAAUGGAAAUACCAGGUUUGAUACGUAUCAACAAUAUAGUAUAUCAUGUUGCAGCACUUCUCGACGUAGCAUGUCCCACUGCAGCUUGGUGUCAUUUAAUAACCAUUAUAACAAUAGCCAUAUUAUUGGUUGCAAAUUGAAAGAGUCCUGUUACGACAUACAUGAUAGGCAAAACGUAGGAGGAGUAGCGCCACACGAUAUGGAUACAUUUAUUGAUGAUAAUAGUAAAGAAUGUGUUUAUAACAAUAAGAAUGAAGUUAAAAAAAAAAAAAAGAAAAAAAAAGAACAUGGUCAGUGGUAUAAACAUGAACAUACAACAACAGAAAACAAAAUUUUAAAUGACAUUAAUCAUAACAAAAAUAAGUUCUCAAAUACUACUAACCAUUUAUUAUGUAAAAAUUAUAUAACUUAUAAUAAUACUAAUGGUUGUAUCAACAAAUUGUUAGGUAGUAGUAAAAAAAAAAAAUAUAUAAAUUAUGAUAACAUUCCUAAUGAAAUACACAAACUAAGAAAAAACCCAUUACGUUGUACUAGCGAAUUUAGUUAUAGAAAGGAUUUACGUUUUUUAAAAAAAAGAAAUAAAAAUAUUAAUAAAAAAAAAAAAACGGAAAAAAUGAUACCUUAUAACAUAUUAAAUAAUAAAAUACCUUAUUCAAUGAAUAUGUUGGAAAAAAAAGAAAAUACAUAUGAUUCAAACAACUUAAUGGUUGUAGAAAAAAAUUUGUUGAGGAAGAUAAAACCUUUUAAAUAUAAUGAACAUGAAUUAUUACAUUCUUAUAUGACUAAUUCCAGUUGUAAUACAAACGAGUAUAAUAUAAAUGAAUAUAUAAAUGGUGGUUAUAAUAGAUUAAUAAGUGAUCAUACGAAGUUUAAAAGAAUACAUUAUAAUAAUCAUAAAUUGAAAAAAAUAGAUUCUAUUAAAAAAUGUAUGAACAAUGGUCAUGCAAAACAAGAAAUUGACAUUUAUUGUAGAUGUUGUAAAAAGAAAGAUGCAUACACAUGUCUUGAACAUGAUAAUAAUAUUGUUACAAAAGAAAAAAAAAAACGAUUUAUGGAUAAAAAGUUUAACUGGUUAGGCUAUGAAUCAGACAGUUUGAGUCAACAUAUAAGUGAAAGUUAUAGUGUCAACAGUUAUAAUGGGGGUGAAAAAGAUGGGGGUGAAAAAGAUGUGGAUGAACUAAAUGACUUACCAUUGAAUUGGCAAAUAAAAUUUCAAAAAUUAAAAAAAAAUGAUAAGAACGAUAACACUUAUCAAGCUGAAAGUAUAAUUAUAAGAAGUAACUCGUUUAGUAGUGGCGGGAUAAGUAGCAAGGUGGAGAGAAGUAGCGACAUUAACACAACUGGUAUACCUUUUGAUUACAAACAUAACAAACGCGAUGAUUAUUACAAUUGUAUGAAAGACAAAAAAACUAAAGCAAACAUUUCGUAUGAGCAUAAUAUUGCUGUUAAUAUUAACCGAAAUGGGCAUAGAAAAAACACACAUAACGAAAAUAUAUAUACCUACCCAAUAACAUAUAAACAUCAUAACAACAACAACAACAACAACAACAACAACAACAACAACAACAGCAACAGCAACAGCAACAGCAACAGCAACAACAGCAACAACAGCAACAACAACAACAACAACCAUUAUUUAAACAAACCUAAAUGUAAUAUUUGUUUUUCCACUAUACAUAGCAAUGAGAAAAAAUGUGUGCUUGAAAAAAAAAGUGAUGAUAAAUUAUGUACAUAUGAUUCAAACAUAGGACAAAUCGCAUCAUCUUGUACAGAAUCAAAAAGUAACAUACAUGAUUUUGAAAACAGAAUACCAAAUUAUUGUCAAGAAAAAAAACAAGAGAAAGAAAUAAAAAUAAAACGAAAAGAAAAUAUUUUGUUUGAUGAAGACGUAUAUAUUAAUACCAAGACAUGUACUGAAAAAGUGGAAUGCACUGUCGAAUGUUGUAAGGACGUUUUACAUAGCGACUUAAUCCAUAAUAACAAUAAUGACUUAAUAGAUACAAAAGUUGAGUUACUUAAAAAAAAAAAAGAAAAAAAAAAAAACCAACUUAUAGAAUCUUGUGUAGAUAAUGAAAUGAAAGAUAUAAGUGUCGAAGAAUGCAUUUAUAAUGAAAAAAAAAAUAGCAAAAAAAAGUCGGACAUGGCUUAUAAAAAAGAGUCAGAUAUAGGUUACAAAAAAGAGUCAGAUAUAGGUUAUAAAACUACUAUUGGAAUAACCAACGCACUUAAUAAUAAUGCAUGUUUUGACACCAUGGACAUGACAUGUGGUAGUAAUAACAAAAUAAAAAGCUACCCAAACCAAAUAGAUAACAAAUACAUAAGUAAUGAUGAAGAUGUAAAAACUAAUAUCAAUGUAAAUACUCAUUUAAUAAACAAACAUGAAGAGCAAAUUAAAUUAAAAAAAGAUUGUAAUAAAAAAGAUAUUUGCUUAAAUGACAGAAAAAUUAAUAGGAGAUGUAUAACAGCAAAUAAUAAUGUUUUACAAAAAGUAUUAAGGAUAAAAAAUGAAUCAUUUAAACGAAAUAAUGAAAAUUGUGACUUAAAAGAAAAAAACUAUGAACAAAGGGAGUCUGAAGCUCAAAAAGCGUAUGACAACAUUUGGGAAAAUUAUGAAGAAAUAUGGAAUAAAUAUGAACAAGGAAUAAUAAAUGAUGAGAAUGUUUGGAAACAACACAAACGGGACUGUUUAUACAAACAGGAUUUGCCACACGAACCUACUGAUUCUUUCAUUCAGAACAAUGGUUAUAGUAACAAUACCAAUGAAGAUAUGGUAUAUGUACACGACUCUUUAUAUAGUAAUGAUUAUAUAAACAGUAAUAGUAGUAUUGGUAAUUAUAAAAAUAGAACUAACAAUAGUAUAAUAAAUUACAUUAAAAAUGAUAAUACAGAUAAAAAAAAUGCUAAAGAUAAUAAAAACAUUCAAAAAAAAGAAUUUAACCAAAUAAAUGAAAAAGAUAUAGAUAAAUUUAAAGAAUCAUAUUAUUGUUAUUUAAGUAAUGUAUCUAGCGAUGACAUUUAUCCAAAUUCCGAAGAACCUUUAUCAAAGUGUGGAAGGGAUAAGCUUAUGCACGCCUGUGUGUUAAAUGAUUAUAAAAUUGGUAACAACAAUGUGGCUAAUAGCAGGGAUAACAAAAAAAUAAAUAGCAAUGUUAAUAACAAUCAAAAAAAAUAUACAUUCGAAUAUAACAUAGAAUAUUUUAAAAUGAUUGACUUGUUUAGUGCAGAUAGUAGUUUAUUUAACAAGUACUUGCAAAGAAUGCAUGACAAUGUGUCGAAAACAAAUGACGAGGUAGACAAAGUGGCAUUUUCUUUAGCUCACACGUUAAG